rnacentral:rRNA from 1 species
UACGAGGGGGGCGAGCGUUGUUCGGAAUUAUUGGGCGUAAAGGGUGCGUAGGCGGUUUGUUGCGUCGGGAGUGAAAACUCAGGGCUUAACCCUGAGCCUGCUUCCGAUACGGGCAGACUAGAGGUAUGCAGGGGAGAACGGAAUUCCUGGUGUAGCGGUGAAAUGCGCAGAUAUCAGGAGGAACACCGGUGGCGAAGGCGGUUCUCUGGGCCAUUACUGACGCUGAGGAGCGAAAGCGUGGGGAGCGAACAGG